rnacentral:rRNA from 1 species
AUGGACACCGUGGGUGCCCGGCUGAGCCGCUCCUCCACGCGAUAUGGCCCCGUCGGCAGCAGCAACGCCUCCUUCAGCGGGCCCGUCAGGAAGUGGCGCAAGGCGUGGGUCCCUCUCGCCGGCGGCGGCGCGGGGUCCGCCUCCGCCGGGUGCCCCAGGGGUAACAAGGUGGUGCUGCUCAAGUGGGCGCCGGUGAGUGGCGCCGGCGACGGGCCGGUCGCCACGGCGGGUGGUGGCGGCGCCUCGGCGACGUCGAUUCCCCACGGCAGGAGGCCUUGCGAUCUGGUUUCGGGUGUGCCACAGAACCCUACCAGAAAAGGCGGCAGCACCGAGCUGAACUUGAACCUCGGUUUGGAGGACCCGGAUGAUGACAGCGACGCUGAUUUGAGCCCAGACGAACAGCGUGACAUGGGCAGCACCCCGCGUUCGGAGAACCGACUGAAGAGGAAAGUGUUUUAA